UACGAGGGGGGCAAGCGUUGUUCGGAAUUACUGGGCGUAAAGGGCGCGUAGGCGGCGCAAGAAGUCAGGCGUGAAAGCCCCGGGCUCAACCUGGGAAUUGCGCUUGAUACUCUUGUGCUUGAGUUCGGGAGAGGUGAGUGGAAUUCCCAGUGUAGAGGUGAAAUUCGUAGAUAUUGGGAAGAACACCGGUGGCGAAGGCGGCUCACUGGACCGAUACUGACGCUGAGGCACGAAAGCUAGGGGAGCAAACAGG
rnacentral:rRNA from 1 species